rnacentral:rRNA from 1 species
UACGAAGGGUGCAAGCGUUGUUCGGAAUUACUGGGCGUAAAGAGCGCGUAGGCGGUCUAUUAAGUCAGGCGUGAAAGUCCCGGGCUCAACCUGGGAAUUGCGUUUGAUACUGGUAGGCUUGAGAUUCAGAGAGGUGAGUGGAAUUCCCAGUGUAGCAGUGAAAUGCGUAGAUAUUAGGAGGAACAUCAGUGGCGAAGGCGGCUCACUGGCUGAAUACUGACGCUAAGGCGCGAAAGCGUGGGGAGCAAACAGGG